rnacentral:rRNA from 1 species
CCUACGGGAGGCAGCAGUGGGGAAUAUUGGACAAUGGGCGAAAGCCUGAUCCAGCCAUGCCGCGUGUGUGAAGAAGGCCUUCGGGUUGUAAAGCACUUUCAGUGGGGAAGAAAGCCUUGGGGCUAAUACCCUCGAGGAAGGACAUCACCCACAGAAGAAGCACCGGCUAACUCCGUGCCAGCAGCCGCGGUAAUACGGAGGGUGCGAGCGUUAAUCGGAAUUACUGGGCGUAAAGCGCGCGUAGGCGGUCUGAUAAGCCGGUUGUGAAAGCCCCGGGCUCAACCUGGGAACGGCAUCCGGAACUGUUAGGCUAGAGUGCAGGAGAGGAAGGUAGAAUUCCCGGUGUAGCAGUGAAAUGCGUAGAGAUCGGGAGGAAUACCAGUGGCGAAGGCGGCCUUCUGGACUGACACUGACGCUGAGGUGCGAAAGCGUGGGUAGCAAACAGGAUUAGAUACCCUGGUAGUC